UUGAACGCUGGCGGCAUGCUUUACACAUGCAAGUCGAACGGUAACAGGCCGCAAGGUGCUGACGAGUGGCGAACGGGUGAGUAAUGCAUCGGAACGUGCCCAGUCGUUGGGGAUAACUACUCGAAAGAGUAGCUAAUACCGCAUACGAUCUAUGGAUGAAAGCGGGGGACCGUAAGGCCUCGCGCGAUUGGAGCGGCCGAUGUCAGAUUAGGUAGUUGGUGGGGUAAAGGCUCACCAAGCCAACGAUCUGUAGCUGGUCUGAGAGGACGACCAGCCACACUGGGACUGAGACACGGCCCAGACUCCUACGGGAGGCAGCAGUGGGGAAUUUUGGACAAUGGGCGCAAGCCUGAUCCAGCAAUGCCGCGUGCAGGAAGAAGGCCUUCGGGUUGUAAACUGCUUUUGUACGGAACGAAACGGCUCUGGUUAAUACCCGGGGCUAAUGACGGUACCGUAAGAAUAAGCACCGGCUAACUACGUG
rnacentral:rRNA from 1 species